rnacentral:lncRNA from 10 species
CUGCUAAUUGAUUUUUGAAUGCUGAAUAAGUCUUGCAUUACGUGGGAUGCCCCUCUUGGUCGUGGGGCAUGACUUGUGGGGAGUCCUCUUCGACCAUCUUGCUGAUGACCGACCUACAUUUAAGUUUUUGAAGAAUCUCCAAGCUAUUUUCCACAGCAGCUGAAGCAUUUUAUACCUUCACUAGAAAGGUACUAGGGCUCCAAUCGCCCUAUAUCCUCACUAAUGCUUGUUAAUUUCCUUUUUUAAAAAAUUACCAUUCUAGUGCAUAUAAAAUGGUACUUCAUUGUGUUUUGAUUUGCAUCACUAAUAACUAAUGAUGUUGAGUAUCUUUGCUUAUGUGCUUGUCCAUUUAUAUAUCUUCUUUGGAGACAUAGCUGUUCAAUCCCUUUUCCCACUUUUAAUAGAAUUUUUUGUCUUUGUAUUAUUUAGUUAUAGGAGUUCUUUAUAUGUCCUAGAUAUUAGACCCUUAUCAGAUGUAAGAUUUGAAAAUAUUUCUAUUUUGUAAGUUAUCUUUUUACUUUCGUGAUAAUGUUCUUUGAUGCACAUUAAAAAAAAUUUGGAGGAAGUAUAAUUUAUUUUCCUUUUGUUGCCCAGGCUUUUGGUUUCACAUAUAAGAAUCAUUGCCAAAUCCAAGGUCAUGAAGUGACUCCUGUGUUUUAUCUAAGACUUUAAUAGUUUUACUUUGAGAUAUUAUAUCUAGGUGAUUAAUCCAUGUUGCGUAACUUUUACAUAUGGUGUGAUGUAGUCCGACAUCAUUAUUUUACAUGUUGGAUACCCAGUUGUCACAAUACCAUUUUCUGAGAAGACCAUUCUGUCUCUCCGUGAAUAGUCUUGGCAACUUUGCCAAAUAUUAAAUGACCAUAAAUAUGAUUUUUUUUUUCUGGACACUCAAUUUGAUUCCAUGUUUAUGUCCAUCUUUAUGCCAGUACCACAAUCUUUUGAUUACAGUAGCUUUUUGGUAAGUUUUGAAAAAAAUAAUGUAAGUUCUUCAAAUUUGUUCUUUUUUCAAGACAUGUUUUUAGCUAUUUGGGAGACUUUGC